GACGAACGCUGGCGGCGUGCUUAACACAUGCAAGUCGAACGAGUGGCGAACGGGGGAGUAAUACGUGGGUAACCUGCCCUCUUUUCGGGAUUAGCCUUGGAAACGGGGUCUCAUACCGACUAAAGGGGGAUGGGCUCGCGGCCUAUCGGCUUGUUGGUGGGGUGAUGGCCUACCAAGGCGGUGACGGGUAGCCGGCCUGCGAGGGUGACCGGCCACAGUGGGACCGGGAGACGGCCCAGAGUACUACGGGAGGGAGCGGUGGGGAAUAGUGCACGAUGCGGGAAGUCCGAACGCGGCGAAGCAACAAGGGAGAUGAAGGCUUCCGGGUUGUGAACCUCGCGCGCAGGCGAACGGGUAAGUGGAGAAGAAGCCCCGGCUAAAUACGCGCCAGCAGCCGCGGUAAUAC
rnacentral:rRNA from 1 species